AUCGGCUUUGUGUGUGGUGGGAUCGGGGUCCUCAAUCAUGGCCUUCACUUUCGCUGCUUUCUGCUACAUGCUGUCCCUGGUGCUCUGCGCUGCGCUCAUCUUCUUCGCUAUCUGGCACAUAAUCGCCUUUGACGAGUUAAGGACGGAUUUUAAGAGUCCCAUAGACCAGUGCAACCCUGUCCAUGCGAGGGAGCGACUGAGGAACAUCGAACGCAUCUGCUUUCUCCUGAGAAAGCUGGUGCUGCCGGAGUACUCCAUCCACAGCCUCUUCUGCAUCAUGUUCCUAUGUGCGCAGGAGUGGCUCACCCUGGGGCUGAACGUUCCCCUGCUUUUCUAUCAUUUUUGGAGGUAUUUCCACUGUCCAGCAGACAGCUCAGAACUAGCCUAUGACCCACCGGUCGUCAUGAACGCGGACACCUUGAGCUACUGCCAGAAGGAGGCCUGGUGUAAGCUAGCCUUCUACCUCCUGUCCUUCUUCUACUACCUGUACUGCAUGAUCUACACCUUAGUGAGCUCCUAACUCAGACCCUGCUGAUGGAGAGGCCGAGGCUGGGGACCACUGCGGCUGUGGCUGGAGGAGACGCCCAGCUUGACAGAGACUGAUCGGAAGGAACUGGAGUCACACGGCAGACAGGGCCAUGUUACCCAUGUGCAUCAGUUGCUGCUGUGUGUGUUGCUGCCUUCGCUGUUCACAUUCCACAUGGAUGGCAGAGCCCCUCUGAACGUUGGGGGUGCCAGCUUGUAGCUGAUGAAACCCGCAACCUCUGGAGCUACAGUUGCUGCUUCUCUUCAUCCACUUCACUGAGCAUUGGUGCCCUGCAAGUUCACAUGGACUGCCUGUCUGGAUGGCAGGAAUGAGGCUGGAAGCUAGACGCCACCAACGAAGGGACAGAAUGACUCGGGGCCAAGGCCAGGUCUUCAGAGAUGAUCGAGACCCUCAUGGAUACUAAGGAUACCAAGACUCUUUUUUUCCAGAGCUGUGGCCUCCAGAUUUGCUCAUUGCACGGCCCAAAUCUGGGGUCUGCCCCAAACCUGCUGCCAUGUCAUUUUAGGCUCUGUUUAUGUCCAAGAUCCUAAGCAGUGACCUCCUGAGCUGGGUGUGGGGCAGCAUGCUGGCAGCAAGUUAUGUCCAGUGCAAACUGGGGAGGAGUGUGAGAAAAUGGAUUUUUAAAAUGUUUGCAACAUGUCCCAGGUGUGAAUUCUUCACCAUCCCCAAGAUGUAUUCUGCCUCUGCACCAAAAUUCCAUCAGUCAUGACAUGCCAAUCAGCUGGCUGGCAUGAGCCAAAGCCUAAAAAAAAAAAAAACUCCUCAAAACAGUGUGAAGCCCAGAACAGAGAGCAGAGCUCCUGUGGUGUGGACAGCCAGGAAGCGAGACAACAUAAUUAUCACUUCAAUUGAUGCUGCACAGCCUUCAUGCUGCUCAGUUCAACGUGGGGACAUCCGCUUAUUUGAAUUUUCCACUUGGCUUUUGCUCCUUUUUUGGGUGGGAGUUGUAUGAGGGGGUGUAAAUAGUGACGAGGCUGAGAUUUUUGUGAUGUUUAAAUUAGGCACAAUGAUUUUGACCUGAUUUCCCAAACUUCCUUGCUUUUCUACCAUUACUCACACAGUCACACACGCACACACACGCACACACACGCACACACGCGCACACACACACACACACACACACACACACCCCACACUAUUUAUAUACGCUCCCAUCUGAAUCCUGUGACUCAGGUUUUUGAAUGGUGUUUGUGUAACACAGUGUGUGCUAUGUUUAAAAUGCAGCAACAACUUCAGUGGCUCACCUCACCGGCUCCUUCAUUCCAUCCCAUCCUGGGUUGGCUGUGUCUCCAUAUGGUUGGCAAACUAGUAGGUAGGAGAAACAGUUUCAAAAUGACACCGUGUUUCUAAAAAUUUUUACAGAAAACAAAAUAGAGAGGGAAAAAAUAAAACUCACAAAAAAGAACAAAACCAAAAUGCAGCUUCCCUGAGGGGCCGGUAGCAUAAAAGCCUCUGCAACCACAUUUGGGGGGAAUGCCUUCCCCGUACCUGGUAACUUGUUGAGGCUGCAUGGCCUCAGAUGGGUACCAUUCCCAGGAUGGUAUGGCCAGCAAGUGCUGGGGUCUGGGUAGCAGGUGCAAAGCUAACUCCAUCACCACCCUGCACAAAAGUAGCUGACAUGGAGAAUGUAAGGAAGGGGUCUGUGGGCUCCUCAAGAUGAGUGUUUCAUACUUCACCUUCUUCCAAAAGGGCUUGAAGUAGCUUUUGACAGGGGGCACCAAUAUGAAAAAUUGUCAACGUGGAACUGGGAAAUUCAUGCUCCAAGGCUUUGCAUGUUGUAGACGACUUUCCCAGCACAACCCUCCACAAAACCCAGCUGUUUUCUCAGUAUUAAAGAGAGGGAACUUUGAAGAUUUGCCUUUGAACCUGAUGUCUGACUUAGAGAACAUGCCCUUUCUGUCGCCCCCGUAGCUUGAGGUCCUGCUAAAGUUCAGCGGCUAGCACUGACUUUUAUGAGAAAAGAUUUUAAGGCGUACAGCGGCAGAGGGAGUGCUUGGGGGCAUGGAUUCAAGGGAGGUGAGCGAUUCUUCCCUCGGUCCUUUAAAAUCAUUCAAAGCUGCCAGUGCCUCUUGGGCAGUUCUUACCUAUUUAUGAAGAAAAAGCAUUCCAAACUCCCCCCCCCGCCCCCACCAUCAGCUGCGAUUGGGAAACAAGUCCAGUGAUCUCAUGGGAAUUACAGUUAAUUUCCAGUCCCCCAGGAGAAGCUCAUUUUCCUGAUGGUAAAAAUAAGUUUGAUGGGCUACUACCGAUGGAACGCAGGUGUGUGCCAGGUGCCUCGGUAAAUGAGAAGAGCCGUGUGCAGGCCGCGUGCAGAUACACACAGCUGCUGGGGGGUGUGGCCUUAGAACCAUGCAGGCUUCUUCCCCGGAAUUUUGCUUGCGUGGCUAACUUUGUCUCUCUCAUUGUAUGCCCCAUGAAAGGAAGGAGUGAGCAAGACAGGAAAAAUGCCUCAAAUUUCCCAGGGCCUCAAGUAUUCAUUUGUUGAGCAAGCUAGAACUCAUGUACCACACACAGGUCAGGGUGCUUCAGGGGCAUAGCCUGUGCCUGGACUGGCCUGGAGUAUGGGCCUGUUUCCCUGCUGUAGCCCUGUGUGGCUGUGCGGUGUGACCUGGAUGGACGGUGGAGAGUCACAUAAGGUCACCCUGUGCUGAGGCGAGAGGAGAAUGUCAGGCUCCACUCUGGCUUGAUGACGUCACAUCUGCUAUGCCUGAUAACGCCGCGAGUUUGCUGAUGUCAUUAGUACGUGGAAAUUGCCCGUGAUGAAAGUGUUCACACCGCAGAACUCGGCAAAUGGACAUGUUAGACAUCCUGCUCUCUCUCCCUCUCCCCCACCCCCAUCUGAGUGCGAGCUGAGCACUUACUUAUUAGCACACCCUGGUCUUUACUCUGGCACAGUUGUGUGACCAUAUCACGGGAGCCAGUAACCAAGGUGACAAUAGCUGUAUUGUCAACACAGCAGUAGAUACACAGUGGCUGGUGGGUUCUGGGUCUAAGCACUUGGUGGCACUGCCUUCAUGACUGGCCUCUCGUCCAUUCUGGCUGUGACACCGGUGAUGCUGUUCCUGUUGUUCACUUGAAAUCAUGUGGGGCUCAUUCAGCUUUCUGUGAACUUGACAGAUCGCUACCACCUUAUAAAGAGAAAGUUAUUUUUGUCUCCUGGGUGUAGAGGUUUCUGUCCCUGGUUAUUUGGCCCCAUCCAUGACUUUGGGCUUCUGGUGGCACAUCAUGGUGGGAAGAAAGAGACUGGGGUCUUAGAGCCUCUUCUAAAGAUUUUACAGCUUCCCAGUGGUGCCAACUCUGGGGACCUUUUUGGAGACGUUAGUGUCCAAGCUUCAAGGCAGGUGUGAUGGCACAUGCUUAGAAUCCCAGCCUUCUGAGGCUGGAGUAGGAGAAUCAUGAGUUCAAGGCAACCUGGGCUAUACAGCGAGAGCCUGUCUUAAAAGGAAUCAAGUUCAGCAGCAGGAGGGCAACCCUUUAAUAUGCCCAGCACUGCCAGGAAUGGGGCUUGGGGCAGAGCUAAGAUCAGCCACACCCACUCUGCAAAGCAUGACAAAAUGCUGUUAUCCUCAAACCCUAGUCCCACUUUUCUUUGCUAACUUGGGGCCUUUGUUCUUCUUUUGAGGUGUCACUUCAGGUCCCCAUUCAAGGGGGUCCCACACCUCCUCCUGCAGUACUGGGGUGAAUAGAAUCCAUAUUCUGCUAUGUAACUUUGCCAAGAUUCCUCCUCAGGGGCGGAUGUAAGCUGCAUCCACCCUCCUCCUAAGAGUCAACCGGAGUUUUCUCCAGGGAACCAAUGAAUUUAUUGGGCUUCUUUACAGAGCAUGGGUGAAGGGUUACUUACAGGAGUGUGGGUGCUCCGCCCCCAGAAUGCCACACCUGGAAAGUCUUCAUCCAUCAGGGGCGAAGCUUCCUUCCCCAUAGCUAUAGAUGAGAACCCCCCUUGCCGCCACCACUGCACCCCAUCUCACCUACACUAACCUGUCCAGUUCCUGUCAGAGAGCAGCUGGAUACGGAGGUGAGAGUCUCUCGACUCUCCCGUGUCCAGGAAGGGAUGUAAACAGCUCAGCUGGGAUAUUCCUGUUGCAAGGUGCUCAGCUGACAUCCCCAAGAUGGCAGUUGCUCGGCUGGGGUGCGGGGCAGUCACUCCUAAUAGACGUCCACCCACUUCACUGGGUGGUCCAAACCAGCAGAAAGAGAGCUUCGUAAGGUACCCGCUCUUGUACUUGGUACAUAAAAUAAGCCCCGUUUCUGCAGCUGUUCCUCUUUCUCAGCUGAUUCUGGGGCUUUGCUCUCCCUGCACAGCCUCUUUCAUUCAGUCUCCAUACUGUACCCCCAGGCACCUCAGGGAAGACACCUGCCUCGUGAUUUCAAGACACAGUGGUCUCAGACCUUAUUAUCCUCUCUGGAAUUUGACUACCUGAGAAGCCAGCAAGAGGGACUUAAAUGCCAGCUCUGAGUCUCUGUUCAAACAUCACCAGAAGUGUGAACAGUAGGCCCUUGUCCUUUUCAGAAAUGCUUGGCACAUCACAAAAAAAGCAUCACCUUUCUGGCAGGAUGAUGUGUGUCUAUAUCAGAACAAGAGAAGGAAAGAGAAAGAGAGCCCAGUUAAAUGUCAGGCCCACCACAGUAAGCCAUAAUGAGACAACCAUUGGCCCAUGCCUAGAAUUGUGGGUUUGGAUCCUGCAGUGAAGACAGCCUGCAAACCCAGUGCAAACAUUACUGAUAAGACUCAGCAGCAGCCCUAGCUCUAACCCUGUCUGAUUAUAAGGAAAAGAGCACAGAUUGUAUUUCACAUUUAAGACAUGUGUCACCGUGUUCUGGGUUCAUUACUGGGAACCUCAACAUUGACUUUCAGUUCCACAGGAAAGGAGGAUCCAUCCAUGCCGGACUCAGACCCUGUAGCAUAUGGAUGCUAGCGUAGUCGAGGAUGCUCAACUAGGCGUCUCAACUGUCUCAUGGAGCAGUGUCACCCUAAGACGAUGGUCCUCUUGAGUGGGCAUCCUUGGGCCUUGCACUUGACCUGUUUCAUACAGUUUGCAUUCAAAGACAGCAAUCAACACAGGACAAGAGUUAAAUCAGGCAAAGGAAAAGGGAUUGGAGAAAAAGUCAGCUAUUCAGACACCCUGGAAGAAACACAUCAGCAGAAGGUCUGAAAACUGGGCUUAAAGGUAGCUGUGAAAUUCAAAGGGAUGAGGGCUGAAGGACUUGAGGGCUGACCAGAUUGAGUGGUGGGUGUUUACUAGACUCAUGGCUCAUGCAGUUAAGAGCGCAAUCUGCCUUCCUCACAGGACAGCAGAGUCGGGCCCAGUGAUCGAAAGGCUGGAGAGAGGCCCUGGCGUCCUUGGCUUCCCUGGCUCACUGUGAGGAGCUUGUUCAACCCACAGUUCUGCACUUGAGAAGAUUCACUGAGAAUGUAGUGGAGUAGUUGCUGCUUUCUGGAGCUCAGAACACAGAAUUGUGAACAUAUUCAGAGCAUGGUAUCUCUAGUCAGAGAAGCUUCUGGAAGAGGAAUGCUUCAACUAUGUGAGAACCUGCCAUGCCUGUACCGCAGAACAUUCUUGAGUUCAGUAGCAGAUAGUCAGAGGUACAUGGAGGUACAUCUAGAAUCUUCUAAUCACUGACACAUGGACUCAGACCUAAGGGAGCAGACAGCUGCUCCUCCAGACGCAGAGUGACUGAUGGAAUUCUGUCGUUAUCUUUCAGGUACAGAACAAUUUAGGGAACCCUUACCCAAGAAGAGCAAAGGGCUGGCCUUUGAAUGUUGUUUAUCGGCUUGAGAGAGUCUUGGCUGGUAGUCAAAACAGCGUUAUUUGAGGAGUGACAUACAGGAAACUCAUGCCUAAUUCCGCAGGUGCCAUCAAGUGGCUUGAAGUCUCUUGCAGAGCUGGCUGUUGGGGUGUACCUCAGGAAAUAACAAGCUCAGUAUCUCCUACUCUGUCCACAGGGAGUUCUCUGAUACGGUGGGAUUCUAGAAGGGAAGAGAGUGUCGGGCACCUCUAGAGAAUGACUUUAGCCUCCUCUCCUGCCCUUCUUUGUGCAAGUUCAAUUGUGUGUGUGAGAUUGGUCAGCUUGGCCCCAAGGGAAGUAGGAGAGAGAAGACUUGAGGUGUGUAAUGAGAUUCAGCCUGUGUUUAUUCAAACACCACCUCUCUCCACCUACAGAGCUCUAGAGCAGCUAGAGGGGAGUAGAAUCUGAGGAUUCAGAGUUGACACUGGGGUGUAAGGCAUUCAGGAAUGAUGGGGAUCCUGGCUCCAUCACCAAAUACUUUCUUUAUGCUUAGUUUUCAGCCAGGGCUGUGUGGUUGACCAGCCAACGUACGCACUCUUACAGUGCGUCAUCGAAUGAGCACCGGUCUUGAGGUGGGAAGGACCUGAUUCCAUUUCUUGUUGACUGUGUGGUGUCGGUCACAUUUCGUAGCCUUUCGGAGUCUCAGUUCCCUCAGCUGUGAGGGAGGAACACUAAUGAAUGGUUUUGCAAGGAUGACAUGAACACUGAGUAAAAAUAUUUUCACGAAAUCAACUUACAGUGUGGAAUAUGCAGCACAGAUAUGAGAGAUUAUUAACAUAGUCACAGCAGUUUCUCUACAGUAAUUUACAAUAAUAACUCUAAGGGCCGGAGAUGUGCCCCAGCAGUAGCAUGCUUGCCUAGCAUGUGCGAGGUUUUAGCUUCAUCUCCAGUGCUGGAAAAAAAAAUUAAUGCAUAAAUUAAAUUUUUAUGGGCACUUUUUGUUGGAGCAAAGAGAGGUCAGAGUCAGUACAAGGGAGGGCCAAAAUGUCCAAAUGUGACUGAACCAUUAGAAGAAGGUCGGAAACGUGGUAGAUUUCUGUGCUUAAUAGUGCACUCUGGCGUUAGCGUGUCAGCUGGGUUGGGAGAAUUUUUCAAGUCUAGCAGAGACUCAGGUGAGAGGCACACUACAAAGGCUUAUAGAGCAAUAAAUUAAAUAUAUAAAUAAUAAAUAGAUUAUUAGAGGGAAAGGCUGAGAGGAAAACAAAUUGCUGCUCCUUAAACGUUUGUCCUUGGCAUGCGGAAUACCCAUCCUCUGUAAGACUGCUGACUGGUAGCGCAUAGACAUCUCUGAUGCUGUAGUUUGAUGUUACCCUCAAGGUUAGUAUUUCACCCGUGUCUAGAGCUCUGAGUCCCUAAAGGAGAACCUUGUCCAUGCUGGUGACUUUACUGAGGAAGCUAUUUCUGUAGUGCACUGUGCUCAGCCAGUUUAAUUCAUAGCUUCAUUAAAUCAGCUCCAAAUCUUUCCAUUAUCAUUUUUCUAAAACUAUUUUCACUGAGAUCAAUUAUCUUCCAUGAAAAAUUCAUGAAGAUUAGUCAGGUUUCUAAAAUUAUAGCUUCUGCCCCUGUGAGUUUUCCGUGGAACCACUAAUUUUACUAGGUCCAAAUUUCCCGAGUCAGGUUUUGCAAUAUCAAAUUCUUACAGCAAUGUGUAGACACUAACAGAUUUAUUAUAGGGUGCAUUUUCAGCCUGCUGAACUUUUAUCCAAGGGUGAAAUCCUUACCAAUUCUAAUUUUGGUAGAACUUUCUAGUUUCCACGAUUAUCAAUCAAAAGGAAUUCUUCAGUAAAUCCACAAUUGCAUGCCUUAUCAUUGGAGAUAGAGUUUUUAAGCAUUGUCAAGAUUAUUAUAUUCUGGAUAGUUCUGCCAGGAAUAUCACUCCUCAUCGGAUUCAGGGAUGACCAUUUACUUUGAUACUUAACGUGUGUGGAUAGCAUUAGCUGUUGUGGAUGAAUGGCACCAGCAAUUGCGUUUGGGUAUUUAUCAGUGACUGCUAGGCUGGAGUUGGAUGUAUCUCUGGCUGGUUAUUCUACUGGGCCCCUGUUGUUGGGGUAAAUUAGAGAUGUCAGAGUUAGUAUAAGAGAGGGCCCAAAUGGCCCUAUAUGACUGAGAAUUAAGAAAAAAGUCAGAAACAUGGUAGAUUUGUAUGGUGUUAGUUAGGGUUUUAGUUAGGGUUUCUAUUGCUGUUAAGAGAUACCAUGACUAUGGUAACUUUAAUAAAGGAGGACAUUUAGAUGGGGCUGGCUUACAGUUUCAGGGGUUUAAUCCAUUAUCAUCAUGGUAAAAAGUAUGGCGACAUGCAGGCAGACAUUGUGCUAGAGAAGCUGAGAGUUCUACAUCUUGAUCUGCAGACCACAGGAAGUAAACUGUGUCCCACACGGGAUAUAGCUUGAGCAUAUAAGACCUCAAAACCUACCCCCACAGUGACAUACUUCCCCCAACAAAUCCACACCUACUCCAACAAAGUCAGAUGGGUUGGGAGAUGGAUGUAUAGCAGAGAUUCAGGUGAGAGACACAUUACAAAGGUGUCUGGAUCUAGCAUUCACAGAACACUUACUGAGUGCCAAGCAAUAGCCUGAACAUUCUAUGAACACAGUCACGGCAAGGGGUAGGUACUAUCACUAAUUCUUACUUGGCAAAUGAGGAGACUGAAGUGACAGAGACUUAACAUAUUCUCAGAGAUGACAAAUGAGCCGUUGGUAGACUUGUGUCCAGGACUCAACCCCAGGGAGUGGGCUUCAGGCUUGAACCCCUUGUUCUUGGGAUGUUCAAUUCGCCCAGGGAAGAAGAGAUACAAAGGAUAAUUGUGAAGACUGCUAUGAAGAGGUGGAAACUGUGGGGCUUGACGGAAAGGGGAUGUUUUGGCAGGUUUGGGGGCUAUUCCUUUUUUAAAUAAUAUUUUUUAGUUUUGAAAACGUACAUUUAUACUGAUUAUUCUGAUUGUAUUCGCCUGCUGUUACCUCCCUCUAGCUCCCCCUAGUGUCCGUCACUCCUCCUUCCUCCCAACUUCAUGUCCUAUUUUUGGUUACUAACCUAACACAAAGCUGGAGUAGUGUGGGAAGAGGGCACCUCAACGGAAGAAUUACCUAUAUUAGACUGGCCUGUACCCUUGUCUCUGAGGCAUUUUUCUGAAGUCCCAGCCUACUGUGGGUGGUGACAUUCCUAGGCAGUUAGGUCUGGGUUAUGUAAGAAAAGCAGUUGAGUAAGUCAGAGAGAAGCAAACCAGUACACAUGCUUUCUCCACGGCCUCUGCGUCAGAUCAUGCCUUCAGUUCCUGCCUGGCAUCCCUUGGUGAUGGAGUAUGACCAGGGAAUUGUAAGAUUAAAUAAACCUUUUCCUCCCCAAGCUGCUUUUGGACCUGGUGUUUAUAUCGUAACAACAGAAAGCAAACUAGAACACUCCCUGAGUUCAAUUAGUGAUACCCAC